AGACCCGAAACCCGGUGAUCUAGCCAUGGGCAGGUUGAAGGUUGGGUAACACUAACUGGAGGACCGAACCGACUAAUGUUGAAAAAUUAGCGGAUGACCUGUGGCUGGGGGUGAAAGGCCAAUCAAACCGGGAGAUAGCUGGUUCUCCCCGAAAGCUAUUUAGGUAGCGCCUCGUGAAUUCAUCUCCGGGGGUAGAGCACUGUUUCGGCUAGGGGGCCAUCCCGGCUUACCAACCCGAUGCAAACUGCGAAUACCGGAGAAUGUUAUCACGGGAGACACACGGCGGGUGCUAACGUCCGUCGUGAAGAGGGAAACAACCCAGACCGCCAGCUAAGGUCCCAAAGUCAUGGUUAAGUGGGAAACGAUGUGGGAAGGCCCAGACAGCCAGGAUGUUGGCUUAGAAGCAGCCAUCAUUUAAAGAAAGCGUAAUAGCUCACUGGUCGAGUCGGCCUGCGCGGAAGAUGUAACGGGGCUAAACCAUGCACCGAAGCUGCGGCAGCGAACGUAUCACUUAAAGCGAUUCAGCGGGUUACGAUUGACGGAGCGAAGCGACGUCAAAGCGUAUACAAAGUCGAGUCGGUUUAAGGAUACGUUCGUUGGGUAGGGGAGCGUUCUGUAAGCCUGUGAAGGUGGCCUGUGAGGGUUGCUGGAGGUAUCAGAAGUGCGAAUGCU
rnacentral:rRNA from 1 species